ensembl:lncRNA
AAUCAGAAAGGUUGGUUUUAUGUUGCUUCACAUAUUGUUUAACACGAGAAACUACAAAGAUAUAAAAAAUAAAAUUGAAUGAGUCUGAUUUCUGUUUCUAAGAAAACACUUUGAAUCUUUAGACAACUGCCCAACAUGUAACGAGUCGCUUUGGAUAAAAGCGAAAUGACGUGUAAUGUAACGUGAGAGUCUUAUUACUGUCAUUGGAUGACAAUUACAUUUACACGCCCAAUUAAGUAUAUUUAUUAUUUUUAAUGAAAGGUGAAAUGUUAUUUAGGUUUAAAAAAGGGCCCCGAUUUCUUGUGAAAGCAUUGUAAUAUUAAGAGGUGAACGUCGCAGGCGGCACCCACCUGUCCCUGAGCAGGACCAUGGUGUACGAGUCCACGUCCCCCGGUGGCUUGUCCCACGAUGCCCGGAGCCUGCUGACCCCGGAGCUGCUCAGAGUGACGGCGCCCAGCGCCAUGGGAACUGGGACACGCGGCGGGUUUCAGUCCUUCGUUUCAAAUAAACACACGUUUAAUGAAGUAUGUGCACUAACUCACCCGUCCUCCCCUGCAGGGACACGGAGGCGUUGAGCGUCCCGCUCCUGGUUGUCACGGUGACGGUGUACAGCCUGCCGGGCACCAGCACGUUGAACGUGCACUCCCUGGUGUUUGGCUGCAGCUCCCUGGUAUCCAUGGUGACGCCGGCUACGACAAACAGGCGUCAAUCACAAUCAGAAAAUCAAUCAACUCGGACGAAAGUCGUCAAUUUAACGAUUAUGGAAGUAGCUGUCACGUGACCCGGAGGGGGCGUGGCUCCACAUGGCGCUGAGAGACGUCUCGUCCGAGUGCCGUAUGUGGAGGUCGUCCACGGCGGCCGGAGCUGAAGAGACGGACAACGGGAUUGUUGACGUAUUACACGUGUUUAUCUACCAACAAGCUGCUCUCCGCCGUCAGGCCGCCGCUCUCCACGCGCAGCACGGCUCUGUACGCCCUUCCAGGCGUUAGUCCCGUCCCGGGGAAGCUGAAGUUGGCGGCCUCUCGGCCCGGAGCGGCGCUGACUAACUGCUGGGCGCCGUCGAAUAGGAGCAGCCUGUAGCUCUCCCAGUGGCCAGGGGGGGGCGACCAGGAGAGGAGGAGGCCGCCGGGGGAGGAGGGCGAGAGAGAGAGCGAGAGGAGGGACGCCGCCGCCGGAGCUGCAGGGGAGAUGAAGACGAGAUGAAGACUCAAAGGAAACAAAAAGACAGCAGAGAAACAGCAUCCCGAGAAGCCGCUCACCUGUCCUCGCGGUGAGUUUUGAUUGGUUCAUCAGCUCGCCGCUCCUGGAGGUCACCUCCACCCGAUAGGCCGAGCCGGGGGUCAGCGGGCCAGCGGCGACCUCGGUUUGGUCCGGCCUCAGCGUCGCCUCCCAGGAGACCGUGCCGUUGGUCGACAGAGUGACCACGAGGGCGUCCAGAUCGCCCUCGGGCAGUUGCCACGACAACGACAGGCCGGUCCCGUUGCCGGGGUCGGCGGUGAGGUUGGCGACAGCGGCGGGAACUAGAGGACAAGGUUUAGAUCAGAUUGAGAUUCCUUCCGUCACCGCGGUAACGUUCUCGCUCUGUUCGCACCUGUCCGGGUCACGGUUGUCCGGCUGUUCUUCAGCCCGCCGGCCUCCGUCACCAUGGUAACGUUGUACAGCCGGCCCGGCGUCAGGUGGAGGAGUGUGCGGUUCGUCGCCGUGCUCUCCAACGUCUCGUUCCUCAGCAGACCUGCAGAAGAACAGGAGGCAUCAAAGGUCACGUGACUACAUGUGUAACCACUACAGGAAGUAGAAAAAUGUUUCCAUAAGUGUGUGUUUGGCGUCUUUGGCGUAGCGGUGCUCCGUCAGGUCCACUUCACCAGAAACGUACCAGUUAGGUCCCACAGCUGCAGCCUGAAGCGCUGCGUCCUCCCCGGGCCGGCCUGCCAGGAAAGGUCCAGGCUUCUGGAGGCCCUGAAGGUCACUGACAGGCUGCUGACCGCCGACGGCUCUGAGGACACAACACGCACACGCACACACACGCACACGCACACACACGCACA